rnacentral:rRNA from 1 species
AGAGUUUGAUCCUGGCUCAGAGCGAACGCUGGCGGCAGGCCUAAUACAUGCAAGUCGAGCGGCCACUUCGGUGGCAGCGGCGGACGGGUGAGUAACGCGUGGGAACGUGCCCUUUGGUUCGGAACAACACAGGGAAACUUGUGCUAAUACCGAAUGUGCCCUUCGGGGGAAAGAUUUAUCGCCAUUGGAGCGGCCCGCGUUGGAUUAGGUAGUUGGUGGGGUAAAGGCCUACCAAGCCUACGAUCCAUAGCUGGUCUGAGAGGAUGAUCAGCCACACUGGGACUGAGACACGGCCCAGACUCCUACGGGAGGCAGCAGUAGGGAAUCUUGCGCAAUGGGCGAAAGCCUGACGCAGCCAUGCCGCGUGAAUGAUGAAGGUCUUAGGAUUGUAAAAUUCUUUCACCGGGGAAGAUAAUGACGGUACCCGGAGAAGAAGCCCCGGCUAACUUCGUGCCAGCAGCCGCGGUAAUACGAAGGGGGCUAGCGUUGCUCGGAAUUACUGGGCGUAAAGGGCGCGUAGGCGGACAGUUUAGUCAGAGGUGAAAGCCCAGGGC